rnacentral:rRNA from 1 species
GAUGAACGCUGGCGGCGUGCCUAAUACAUGCAAGUCGAGCGAACAGACGAGGAGCUUGCUCCUCUGACGUUAGCGGCGGACGGGUGAGUAACACGUGGAUAACCUACCUAUAAGACUGGGAUAACUUCGGGAAACCGGAGCUAAUACCGGAUAAUAUAUUGAACCGCAUGGUUCAAUAGUGAAAGACGGUUUUGCUGUCACUUAUAGAUGGAUCCGCGCCGCAUUAGCUAGUUGGUAAGGUAACGGCUUACCAAGGCAACGAUGCGUAGCCGACCUGAGAGGGUGAUCAGCCACACCGGAACUGAGACACGGUCCAGUCUCCUACGGGAGGCAGCAGUAGGGAAUCUUCCGCAAUGGGCGAAAUCCUGACGGAGCAACGCCGCGUGAGUGAUGAAGGUCUUCGGAUCGUAAAACUCUGUUAUUAGGGAAGGACAAAUGUGUAAGUAACUAUGCACGUCUUGACGGUACCUAAUCAGAAAGCCACGGCUAACUACGUG